rnacentral:lncRNA from 1 species
AAAGAAAAAUUGUAAAGUAGAAAGCAUACUAGGUUUGUUUUCUAGCUCUUGCUCUCACUUGAUUAUAAUGUCGCACUAUAAAAGGAAUUUAUCAUCACUGCAAGUGAUUCCAAAUAAAGGGUGUUUUUUGCUGUUGUUGCCAUUGUUUUUCUUUGGUUUUAAUGAGAACAGACUGCACAUGCUUGUAAUUGCAUGGAACAGAGUGGGCAACAAGAUCUUCUGAACGGGCCUUGCCAUCGAAAGUAGACAGACGCAGGAUCAUCCCUGUCUAUUGGGUCAAAACUUCUGAAAAAACGCAGGCACGUACAGAAUUUCUGCAGGCCCAGCUCACAUGUUACGGAGAAGUGAGAUGUCUAAACAGCCUCUCCCGUAGGCAUUCCAGUACCAAUCUUUAAUCACUUCAGCCACCUAUGCAUGUACUAAAGGUGCACACCAAGCAACAAGUCACAGAGACAUCAGUGGACUUUCUUCAUAUUUUUACUGUUUUAAGAUAAAGAAACAUGAAGGAAAGGUUAUUCCCAAAGGAGAUGUUUGAACAUGGAGCAGGAGUCACGUGGGAAAUGAAGAGGAGUGCUUAUGUGCUGGUGAUUGGGAUAGAAAAACAGGUGUAAGACUUAUACAUAUGGAUUAGAAAGUUGGAAGGCAUUUUUGCUGCAGUUAUCAAACAAAGGCUGCCAAGUUGUUUUCUCCUGAGUAAAAUAGCCCACAGAGCUGAGAUCAUGGCUGUCUAAGCAAUAUUGCAGUUACCACUGAUAUUAAGCUCACUGUUUCACAAUACAAAGCAAUGCCCUACACCACCCGAUACGGACUUUCAGAGAACAGCCUCUCUUCUUUCCAUUUGCCACUACAAAAAUACCACCUGAGCACUCUUACUGGUUUCAGCAGGAGAUGGUUUGAAUGGCUUUGGCCAGCUGCAGUUUAUCACUCACAACCCAUUUUUGUCCUCCUCUCUCCAUUACCUUUGACUCGAAGGCAAAGUAGGGAAAACACUGCCAUUUGGCAUUGAGUCCCGGAGAGCAAUUCAGGGCAAUGCGAGGCCAAGUUCAGGCAAAGUGUGACCAGUACGUGUCCCACGGGAUGGAGGGAUGCCAAAUGGAAGCUGGUGGGUGUUAGUGACAGGGAGCCAGCCGGUGGAUGGAGCACAAGCCUGACCUCAGUGCCAAGUGGACGUGGCAGCAGUUUGUUAACACUCAUCAAUUCGCAUCUGCAAGAGGCCACCUCGCAGGACUUCAUCCAGCAAAGAGAAACAACUAGAAAAGUGCAAGAAAAACUGCUGAUGGCAACUGAGAUUGCUCACGCAGACAUUUAUACAAAUGUCUAAACGCUUCCCGGAAUUAAGGCAUUCCUGACCUGGGACCACCCUAAGGUUUUCCUACAUAGUAAAAUAAAGAUAGCCAUGUACUUGACUGAAUAAGGUGG